UGGGGAAUUUUGGACAAUGGGCGCAAGCCUGAUCCAGCCAUGCCGCGUGAGUGAAGAAGGCCUUCGGGUUGUAAAGCUCUUUCAGCAGGAACGAAAUGGUUCGUGCUAAUACCACGGAUUGAUGACGGUACCUGAAGAAGAAGCACCGGCUAACUACGUGCCAGCAGCCGCGGUAAUACGUAGGGUGCAGGCGUUAAUCGGAAUUACUGGGCGUAAAGCGUGCGCAGGCGGUUUCUCAAGUCAGAUGUGAAAGCCCCGGGCUUAACCUGGGAACUGCGUUUGAAACUGGGAGACUUGAGUGUGGCAGAGGGGGGUGGAAUUCCACGUGUAGCAGUGAAAUGCGUAGAUAUGUGGAGGAACACCGAUGGCGAAGGCAGCCCCCUGGGUCAACACUGACGCUCAUGCACGAAAGCGUGGGGAGCAAACAGGAUUAGAUACCCUGGUAGUCCACGCCCUAAACUAUGUCAACUGGUUGUCGGGGGAUUGAUUCCCUUGGUAACGAAGCUAACGCGUGAAGUUGACCGCCUGGGGAGUACGGCCGCAAGGUUA
rnacentral:rRNA from 1 species